rnacentral:rRNA from 1 species
CUGUUGCAUGCAACAGCGAAUUGUAGUCUCGAGAAGCGUCUUCAAGGCGGAUCUACCCUACCUAAGUUGCUUGGAACAGCACAUCAGAGAGGGUGACAGUCCCGUUCGUGGCAGGGCAGACCGUCCAUGAUACGCUUUCCAUGAGUCGGGUUGCUUGGGAAUGCAGCCCAAAAUUGGUGGUAAACUCCAUCUAAAGCUAAAUAUUGGCACGAGACCGAUAGCGAACAAGUACCGUGAGGGAAAGAUGAAAAGAACUUUGAAAAGAGAGUUAAAAAGUGCGUGAAACCGUUAGAGGGGAAACGGAUGCAGUUAGCAAUGCCACUGCGAGAUUCAGAUGGUCAUGAGUGAGACGGGCAGUACGCGGAUCCGAAUGGACCGUCGCUGUUUGACCGAGCUUCAUUGCCGUCGCAUUUCUCGUUGGGGCGCGUCAACAGCUGCCAGACACGUGCUAUACGACCUCGUGGAAGGUAGGUACCCAGCUUGCUGAGUGCUGUUACAGCCACGGGUGUUCCAGUGCGAGCUUUGGCAGAGGUGUCCGGUGCAUGCUCCUCUCGAGGGGCUGGCGUCCUGUGGUGUUCUCGUAGUUGGCCGUUUCGCACUGCUUGCAGUUCGGAGUGGCUGGUGAAAAGGCAUGCAGUCAACGCACACGAUGCACCAUAGUUGUUGACGGCAACAUGGCUUCAUCCGACCCGUCUUGAAACACGGACCAAGGAGUCUAACAUGUGCGCGAGUCUUGGGGUGACUGAAACCCAAAGGCGCAAUGAAAGUAAAGGCUGCCUAGCAGCUGAGGUGAGAUCCUAGCCGUUCGCGGUUGGGCGCAUCAUCGACCGACCUAUUCUACUCUUAGAAAGGCUUGAGUAAGAGCGUACAUGCUGGUACCCGAAAGAUGGUGAACUAUGCUUGAGUAGGGUGAAGCCAGAGGAAACUCUGGUGGAAGCUCGUAGCGAUUCUGACGUGCAAAUCGAUCGUCGAACUUGAGUAUAGGGGCGAAAGACUAAUCGAACCAUCUA